rnacentral:rRNA from 1 species
UACGUAGGGUGCGAGCGUUGUUCGGAAUUACUGGGCGUAAAGGGCUCGUAGGCGGCCAACUAAGUCCGACGUGAAAUCCCCAGGCUUAACCUGGGAACUGCGUCGGAUACUGGAUGGCUUGAAUCCGGGAGAGGGAUGCGGAAUUCCAGGUGUAGCGGUGAAAUGCGUAGAUAUCUGGAGGAACACCGGUGGCGAAGGCGGCAUCCUGGACCGGCAUUGACGCUGAGGAGCGAAAGCCAGGGGAGCAAACGGG